GGCACGGUGGCUUAGUGGUUAGCACGUUUGCCUCGCACCUUCAGGGUCGGGAGGUUCAAUACCUGCCUCUGCCC